rnacentral:rRNA from 1 species
GACGUAGGGGGCCAGCGUUGUUCGGAAUUACUGGGUGUAAAGGGUUCGUAGGCGGUGCGGCAAGUCGGGAGUGAAAUCUCUGGGCUUAACCCAGAGGCUGCUUCCGAAACUGCUGUGCUUGAGUUUGGGAGAGGGACGCGGAAUUCCAGGUGUAGCGGUGAAAUGCGUAGAUAUCUGGAGGAACACCGGUGGCGAAGGCGGCGUCCUGGACCAACACUGACACUGAGGAGCGAAAGCCAGGGGAGCAAACGGG